GCGACUUAUUAAAAAAUAACAAAAGAACUGGGAUGUUGUCAAUCAGGAACAAAAACAAAGUUGCUGGAAAAGCUCAGCAGGUCUGGCAGCAUCUGUGAAGGUAAAAAGACAGAUCCAGUUUUCAGUCUCAUUCGUCUCAAAAUGCAACAUUGCGACGACGUUCAUUUGCUUCCAACAAUAACACAAAGCACUGCGCAUGCUCCAGCUCACAGUGAAGUCCGGCUGAUUGAUGUCAGUGCGCGACCAAUAGGAGCACAGGUGUGCCGUGCAUGACCGGACGGAUGUCGCCCAAUCGGAAUGAAGGGAGGGCGGGAUCAGUGAAAACCACGUGAUCAUCCACGAGUGCGGUGCAGAGUCGCUGAGAUAACCGGAACUGCAGAUGCUGGAGAAUCCGAGAUAACACGGUGUGCAGCUGGAUGUACACAGCAGGAAAGCUGACGUUUCGGGCCUAGAUCCUUCGCUGAGACCAAGAUUUGUGCAAUUGAGAUACCAGCGAUCGUUGCCAAAGCCCUGUUACCUGUGGAGAAGGUGAUGUUUAACUUUCGUGUGCUACUGCAGUUUGUAUGAUAAAGGUGCUCUCUCAAUGCUCCAUUUGAGAAGUUACAGAUCAUUCAUCUAGCGAUACUGAAGAGCUACUGAAGAGCUAAUGGUGAUAUUACAAGUGGACUUUCAGGUAGGAAGCUCAAUAAUUGUAACACCAAACUCUGACAGAAUUACUCAAUUCAUCAGGACCUGGAUAUUCGCAUUGUGUGAGAGUAUUGUGUUCCUGCUCAUUCCCAUUUGCCAUGUAAAAUUUCUCUCUUAUUACUCCAUUCUCUCAAUAGAUCUUUCCUACAACUUUCAAUAUAUGUCCUGUAGUCCUUUUUUAUGGCCAGUUGUGUACGUUUUACCAUUCUAAUGUUUAUCUUUUGUAAACACCUCCUAUCAAAGGUCCCCUCAAAAUCCUUUGUUACAAGGAGAUCAAUCUCCGUUUCCCCAAGCACCUGAUUACCCAAUGACAGUUUGCUUCUUGUGUGUGAGGCACUCAUCCACUUUUCAUUUCCACUUACCUGCAUGAGUACAGCCCCAACAAUAUUAAAGGAAGUUAACAUCCUCCAGAUGAAGCAGUGUCGGAGUGGUGUCCCAUCCACCACAUUCAACAUUCCCCUCUACACCACUGAGGCAAAGUGGCAUCACUGUGCCUAAGGUGAAGUCACCAUUAUCCUACCUGACCAUAGGGCUAGUUUAACCUGAAGAUUACCACACCCCAGGCAAGGGGAGAGGUUGAGAAUGAGAGUCCAUCUAUUGUCGAUGGAUAUUCUCAAUAUGUACCAGCAAUACCUAAGUCACAUGAAAUUAUAACUUUUAAAAAAAACCCUAUCCAUGCAACUAAAAACCCUCUUCGUACAAACCAUUCUGUUAAAUCUCCUCUGCCCCCUAUCAGGGACCCUCCCGUCCUUCACGGUGUGUGGGGGAUCUUUGGUUUGCACAGACUCAGCUCGUCUCUGUUCCUGUCUGUGAUGUCAUCAUGCUGUGACAAUGGCACUGAGCCUCACUCUCUGUGAGGGUGGUAGGCACAGAGAUCCUCAUAGCGUUUAAGGCAUAUUUAGAUGCACACUUGUGAUGCCAACACAGACAAGUGUAUGGGCCAAGUGCUGGAAAAUUAGAUUAGAAUAGUUAGGGUGUGGUUUUUAACCAGCCCAGGCUGUAUGGGCCACAAAGCCUUUUUCUGUGCUGUAGACCUCCGAGACUCUUCACAUAGGAAGAUGCCCAGCAAUAUUUCAAGUUAUUUCAGAAAAUGAGAUAUUAGACUAAAUGACUCAUGAUUGGUCAGUGUUUUCGGGAGUAAAGUGAGGUAUAGAGGGAAAGCGGUUGACUUCAAUUCUGGGGCCUGAAGCCCAGGAAAUUGAAAGUGCUGCCAUCAUGUGGAUGAAUAAAAAUAAGGAUUGUAUUGGAGGAAAGAAAUAUCGUUCUUGUAUCACUGAUCUGUGAGGCUGGAUGAUAUGAGAGACAGGAAGGGUUCUGAGACUGGAGAAGACUACAAAAAUAGAGAAAAGUGAGCUUGGAGGAGAUUACAGAAAUGGGGAAGAUUGUGAGGCUGGAGGAGACCAGACAGAGGGAGUUUGUGACGGUAAAGACAAUUAUAGAGCUAAAGAAGUUUGUGGGCUGGAGGAGAUGACAGAUAAGGUGGUCUGUGAGACUGGAGGAAUCUAGAUAGAUGGUGUGAGUUGAGGCUGGAGGGGGAUUCCAACGAUAGGCAGGUCAUGAGGCUGGAGAGGGAUUCCACAGAUGUGAAGGGUGUUGAGACUCGAGAAUGAUGCCUGCAACAAUGCAGGUAGUGAGGCUUGAGGGCAUGAUCUGGAGGGUAGUGAGGUCUGAGGUAUGAUUCCUGCAGUAGGGAGGGUAGUGAGGCUCCAGGGUGGAUUAUUAUCAUAACAGCACAGUGGUGUACUUACAGCAGAUGGAGUGCAGCAGUAAUAGAAAGUACCACUUUCUCCAAAUUGAAUAAAAGUGGAAAUCAAUAUUAGCCUGUGCAGCAAAGGCCACAUCCCAUAAGUCAAUUAAAAUUGAUGGGUCUCUGGUUUGGAGAGAGUGAACAAAAGCUCAGGUAAUUCUCCAUUGUAGCAAUGUUUGGUAACCGUGGAGUACAACAUUCAGAUAAUUGGCAAAAAAUGCAGAGUGAAAAUGUGAAGAGUGUUUGACUCAGCAAGUUCCCAGGAUCUGGAACAGUCUGAAUGGCAGCUGGAUGCAGAUUUAGCAGUUAUUCUCAAAAAAGAGUUUGGAUUUAACUUUUCAAGGAAUGAUGGGCAAAUGGUGGGGGAAUUGUUUCAGUUUUGCAGCACCUCCAGAGUGAGAGUGAAGCCUUUGACACGAUUCCACAUGGUAGACUGAUACGUAAAGUUAGAUCACAUGUGAUUCAGGAAGAGCUCGCUAAUUGGAAGCGGAAUUGGCUCAGUUGGAGGAGAGACGGUGGUGCUGGAGGAUUUUUCAGAGUGGAGUUCUGUGACCAGCAUGUUCCACAGCAUUUGGCACAGGGUCCACUUUUGUUUCUCAUUUAUAUUAAUGAUUUGGAUGAGAAUUUAAGGGACAAGAUUAGUAAGUUUGCAGAUGAUACUAGAAUUAGUGGUAUGAAAUGUUGGUAUAGUGGUCAGUGAAGGUUAUCGAAGAUGACAGCAAGAUCUUGAUCAAUUAUGUCAAUGGGUUGAGGAGUGGAGGAUGAAGUUCAAUUUGAAUAAAUGUGAGACAUUGUAUUUUGGUAAAAUGAACCGGGUAGGACUUGCACAAUUGAUGGUUGCACCCAGGGUAGUGUUGUGGAACAGAGAAAUGCUGAGAUUCAAGUGCAUAAUUCUUUGAAGUUUAUGUAGACAAGUAGACAGAGUGAUUAAUAAGUUGUUUAGCUCACUUCCUUUCAUUGCUCAGACCUUAGAGUCUCAGAGUUGGGAUGUUAUGUUGAGGUUGUACAGGACAUUGUUUUGGCUUCAUUUGAGGUAUUGUGUGCAGCUCUGGUCGCCCUGUUACAGGAAGGACAUUAUUAUUAAACUGGAGACAGUUCAGAAUAGACUUGCUGGGAUGUUGCCAGGAAUGGAGGGCUUGAUUAUCAAAUAGACGGCCAAAGCUGGCACUUUUCUCACUGCAGCAUAAUGGGUUAACGAGUGGCCUUGGAGGUUCAUAAAAUCAUGAGGGCACAGAUUAUGCAAAUAGCAAGGGUUUAUUCACAAGGUUGGCUGAUUUCAAGACAAGCGGACAUGUGUGUAAGGUGAGAGGAGAAAGACAUAUUUAAAAAGACAUGAGGGAAACUUUUAUUUUUAUGGAGUUUUCCAUGUGUGGAACAAACUUUCAGAGGAAGUGGCAGAUACAGGUACAGCCACGUUGUUUAAAAGACAUUUGAAUUAGGACAUAGACAAGAGAGGUUUAGAGGAGUAUAUGCCAGAUGCAGGCAGAUGUGAUCAGUUUAAAAUAAAACUUAUUUAUUUAAUAUACAUUUCAAAAUUCUAAAUUGGAGUAAGGCCAACUUUGACAUUGUUGGGCAAGAACUUGCAAAAGAUGAUCCAGAGAGGUAAUAUGCAGGUCAAGGAAUGCUUGGAAAGUGGGAGGUCUUCAAAACUAAAAUAAGGAGAGCCCAGACACAAUAUGUUCCUGUUCAUGUGAAGGGCAAGGCUGGUAAAUGUAGGGGAUACUGGCUGACUGGAGAAAUUGAGGCUGUGGUCAAGAAAAAGGCGGCAGCACAUGUCGGGUAUUGACAGCAGGAAUUAGGUCAAUCCCUCGAAGUACAAGGGCAGUAGGAUUAUACUCGAGAAAUCAGGACGGCAAAAAGGAGACAUGAGCUAUCUUUGGCAAAUCAAGUUAAGGGGAAUCCCAAGAGAUUCUGAAACUUCAUUUGGGACAAAAAAGCAACUAGGGAGAAAAUAGGGCCCCUUUAAAGAUCAACGAGGCUGUCUGUGUGGAACUGCAGGCUGAGAUAGUGAAUGAGUAUUUCGCAUUAGUAUUUACUGCAGAGAAGGAUAUGGAAGUGAGAGAGCUUGGAAACAUAAAUAGUGAGUCGUGAGAAGUGUCUAUAUUACAGAGAUCUAGGUGCUAGAUGUCUUAAAAUGCAUAAAGGUGGAUAGGUUCCUGGCACCUGAUCAGGUGUUACCCACAAACUCUGGGAGAAGCUGGGGAAGCAAUUGCUGGCCCCUUGCUGAGGUAUUUGUAUCACUGACACUAGUGAAGUGCCAGAAGGCCGGGUGGCUAAUGUGGUGUCAUUCUUUAAGGAAAAGCCACGGGACCAUCGACCGUUGAGCCUGAUGUCAGUGGUGGGUAAGUUGCUGGUGGGGAUUCUGAGGGACAGGAUUUGCAUGUGUUUAGAGAAGCAAAGACUGAUUAGGGAUAGUCAACAUGGCUUUGUGAGUAGGAAAUCUUGUCUCAUUAACUUGAUUGCCUUCUUCGUCACUUCUUCAAAAAACUCAAAGCAGUGGACAUUGUCUAUUAUGGACUUCAGCAAGGCAUUCACCAAAGCUCCACAUGACAGAUUGGUUAGCAAGAUUAGAUCAAAUGGAACCCAGGGAGAGUUAGCUAUUUGAAACAAAAUUGGCUUGAAGGUAGGAGACAAGAUCAUGGUCAGCUGGGGGAGAGUGGAUUCAGUCUAGAUGACUAUGAACAGCAGUGUGCUGCAAGGAUCGGUGCUGGGUCCACUGCUUUUUUUUAAUCAUUGAUGCAAAUCAUGCGGAAUGAAUAUUGGAGGAAUGGUUAGUAAGUUUGCAGAUGACACUAAAAUUGUUGUUGUAGUAGACAGCAAAGGCGUUUACUUCCCAAGCACAAUGGGAACAUAAUCACAUGGGUUGAUGUGCCAAGGAGUGAUAGAAAUAAGUUUUUAGUUCAGAUAAAUGUGAGCAAUUGCAUUAUGGUAAUGCAAAUCAGCGCAGGACUUAAACAGUUAAUGAUGAGGCCCUGGGGACUGUUAUGCAACAGGGACUCCUUGGGGUGCAUGUGCACAGUUCCUUGAAGGUGGAUUGCAGGUACAGAAGGUAGUGAAGAUGAUAUUUGCUCUGCUUGCAUUUAUUGGUCAGUGCAUUGAGCGUAGGAGUUGGGAGGUCAAUGUUAUAGGCUGAACAAGGCAUUGAUUAUGCUGCUUUUGGAAUACUGUGUUCAGUUCUGGUCUCCCUGCUAUAGGAAUGAUGCUGUUGAACUUGGCAGGGUGCAGAAAAGAUUUACAAGGAUGUUGCAAGAGGUGGAAUUUUGAGCUGUAGGGAGAAGUUGAAUAUGCUGGGUCUAUUUUCCCUGGAGCAUUGAAGGCUGAGGGGUGACCUUAUAGAGGUUGUUAAAAUUAUGGUGGGCGUAGGGUGAAUGGCCAAGAUUGUUUUCCCAGGUUAGGGGAGACUAGAACUAAUAACAUUGGCUUUAGCCGAGAGGGAAAGUCUUAAAAGGGAACCAAAAGAACUGCAGAUGCCUUAAAUCUAAAAAAAAACAAAUUUGCUGGAAAAGCCUAGCAGGUUUGGCAGCAUCUGUGGAGGAGAGAAGAGUUUCGGGUUCUGAGGAAGGGUCACCGGUCCUGAAAUGUUAACUUUUUUUCCUCCUUAACAGAUGCUACAGGCCUGCUGAGCUUUUCCAGCGAAUUUGUUUUUUUUAAAAAGGGAAAGUGGGUGGUGCCUGUGUAGAAUGAGCUGCCAGAGGAACUGGUGGAAGCUGGUACAGUUACCCAUCCAGAUACCUUUUAAAUGUUGUAUGUGAAUAGGAAGGGUGUCGCAGAGUAUAGGUCAAAUGCUUGCAAAUGGGAUUAGAUUAAUUUGGGAUAUCUAGUCAGCAUGGACAACUGGGACCAAAGGGAUUGUUUUGUGCUGUACAAUGCUGAUGAAGCAUUUUUUGUUUUCAUUUCAGAUUCCCACAAUUUUACUUCUGCACUAUUCUUAGUCUUUCAGAGGGAUCGAAAGGUUGAGUUACAGAUCUAUACAAUGACUGUCCUUCCUCGCUGGCUUCCCCCACCUCUCUUUUGGUAGUUUUAUGCAAACACUGACUGGAUCCCUUACCUGGAGGAUAUUUAUGAAUGAAUUUGUUCUAAUGGUGAUCCAGCAUUUUCCCCAAGUAUCGCUCCACACAUGCCCAGAGAAUUUCUCAGUUUCACAAUCUGUGUCCUUCUGGUUUCUUACUCGCUACACUUAACUUUCUGUUUGAAAGUAUAGUCUGCAGUUGGAGAAUUUUAACAGGUCCACAUCCAGGUCUGACGGUCACUUUGUUUAUCACAACCCAAUUAUCUCAGGGUUUUGAACAUUGAAGGAAAACGCAGCACUCACAUUGGGGAGAAAUGCACAUGGUGUGUGUGUUGAAGAGUCUGUGAAGAUUCAUCUGAAAUGUCCGAACACCAGUGCAGUGACACUGGGAGACAGUGUGGAAAUGUGCAGAUUGCAGGAAGGAAUUUCUUCAUCCAUCCCAGCUAGAAACUGACCACCAGAGUCACACUGGAGAGAGACCAUUGGCCUGUUCUGCAUGAGGGAAAGGCUUUGCUGAUUCGAAUUCCCCGCUGAUACACCAGCGAGUUCACUCUGGGGAGAGACCUUUCAUGAGCUCUGAGUGUGGGAAGGGAUUCAUUGUCAUCCAAACUGUUAACACACCAGCGAGUUCACAGACAACCACAGUUGAAGAACUUUGCUGUCACUCUCACUAUCAAAUGAACCAUGGUUUUGGGCUGUUUGUACAGAUGUUACCGACCCCUGCUCAAUUAAAGGUGCUGGUAUUGUGAAUAAAAUGUCACACUAACAGUUGUGUAAGGUAGAGCUUGGAAAUAGUCACGUUGUCACAACACGUCGACACAUUCGCACUGACUAAAGACUAUCCACCUGCACGAUAUGUGAAAAGGGACUUGCUGGUUCAUCAGGACUGGUUAACUGCCAGCAAAUUUCUGAAUAAGUUGAUUGGUUUGAAUAUAGCUAACAGUAGAAUCAAAAAUAGUAUCAGUGAUAAUGGGAACUGCAGAUGCUGGAGAAUCCAAGACAACGAAGUGUGGAGCUGGAUGAACACAGCAGGCCAAGCAGCAUCUCAGGAGCACAAAAGCUGACUUUUCGGGCCUAGAGAAGGGUCAAGGCCUGAAACGUCAGCUUUUGUGCUCCUGAGAUGCUGCUUGACCUGUUGUGUUCAUCCAGCUCCACACAUUGUUAUAGUAGAUUCAAAAACCAUGUGUUUUGGGCUUGUUGCUGGAGAUCAUAGAAUCCCUCCAGUGUGGGAGCAGACCAUUUAGCCCAUCAUGUCCGCACUGACCUGACAAACAGUGUCUUACCCAGACACUGUCUGCGUGAGUUUCCUCCAGAUGCUCUGGUUUCCUCCCACAGUCCAAAACUGUGCAAAUUAUGUAGAUUGACUAUGCUAAAUUGCCCAUAGUAUCUUGUGUGCAAAAUGCAGGCAUAGGGUGGGUAGGGUGUGAGACUGGGUGGGAUGCUCUUUGCAGGGUUGAUAUUGACUGAAUGGCCAUCUUCCACACUGUAGGAAUUCUGUGAUGAUCUCGAUGGCCCUUUAUUUGUUAGACAGGUCUGCACACCUUUACAAUGACGGAUUCUGUUGCUCUCCACAGACAUUUGUUUAUUGGAAACAAUGUAAUCUUUCAUUUUGUGGAUAAAAAUCAAAGGAAAGUUUUAAAUCCAAA